CCCUUAGAUGUUCUGGGCCGCACGCGCGCUACACUGUUCGACGCAGCGAGUCUUAACCUUGACCGAAAGGUUUGGGUAAUCUUCAGCAAAGUCGAACGUGAUGGGGAUCGAUCAUUGCAAUUAUUGAUCGUGAACGAGGAAUUCCUAGUAAGUGCAAGUCAUCAACUUGCGCUGAUUACGUCCCUGCCCUUUGUACACACCGCCCGUCGCUACUACCGAUUGAAUGGUUUAGUGAGAUCUCUGGAUUGACGCUGGCUAGGGGGCGACCCUUGGCCAGACUGCUCGAGAAACUGCUCAAACUUGAUCAUUUAGAGGAAGUAAAAGUCGUAACA
rnacentral:rRNA from 1 species